rnacentral:rRNA from 1 species
GAUGAACGCUGGCGGCGUGCCUAAUACAUGCAAGUCGAGCGAACAGACGAGGAGCUUGCUCCUCUGACGUUAGCGGCGGACGGGUGAGUCACACGUGGAUAACCUACCUAUAAGACUGGGAUAACUUCGGGAAACCGGAGCUAAUACCCGUUAAUAUAUUGAACCGCAUGGUUCUAUAGUGCAAGACGUUUUUGCUGUGACUUAUAGAUGGUUCCACGCCGCAUUAGCUAGUUGGUAAGGUAACGGCUUACCAAGGCAACGAUGCGUAGCCGACCUGAGAGGGUGAUCGGCCACACUGGAACUGAGACACGGUCCAGCCUCCUACGGGAGGCAGCAGUAGGGAAUCUUCCGCAAUGGGCGAAAGCCUGACGGAGCAACGGCGCGUGAGUGAUGAAGGUCUUCGGAUCGUAAAACUCUGUUAGUAGGGAAGAACAAAUGUGUAAGUAACUAUGCACGUCUUGACGGUACCUAAUCAGAAAGCCACGGCUAACUACGUG